rnacentral:lncRNA from 1 species
CUUCGAUGCUUGACUGCUGGUGUCAGCCUAAAAUGAUAGGUCAUUUUCUUAAACUUUCUGCCUGUCCGCUCUUCUCAUUCUCACCAGCACCAGACAAGUGGUACCCAGGAGAGAGCUGAAGUCAGAGUUUCAGAGAAGGCUGGGCUGCAGACCAUAUAAAUAUUGCAUCAGCUCAAUUCAGUAAGAGGCUGCUGAGCUGAAUCACAUCACCAGUAAUGCAAAAAGUACCACACCACAUCAAAUCAGGUGUUGUGGUUUUGCAAGCAAACACAUCAGCCAACAAACAUCAGGGACUGUGCACAGCUGGGCUCACCCAGCCUGCUCAGCUCAGUGCCUUGGUGCAGCAUGGAGCAGUGCUGGAUGGAGCUUGGAGCCUCUGGCUGACCAUAGUGCUCAGGAAUUACUGCAGACAGCAAAAGCUGUGGUGCUCAAUCCACAUCUUCCUUAUGUCACUGCAGUACCAAACAAC